GAAGCCCCUGAGUUCAGGGCCCUGGUCUCCUGCGGGGUUCCCCUUCGCUCCUAAAAAGCGCCAGUCCAGGACAGCUCGGAGCUGCGCGUCGGACCACCUAGCAGGCGCUCAGCAGCGGCUGCCCAUCCGGCGGCCACCCAUCCAGGAGAGCAGGGGCUCUGUCCAAGGUCUAAUGCGCCCCCAGCCCCACCCCCAGCCUGGUCUGGCAGAGACGGUUCUCAGUCUAUUGGGUAAAUACAUAGCCAGCUUCUCACCCCCAAAGCCCAGCCUGUCUUUCCCAAUGAACCUCACACCCUAAAGUGGGAGUGUGUGGCCAUUUUUCCCAUACAGCCUGCCUUCCAUUCACCCCAGAGUUCUCCAAGCACCCAGAAUACCCCUGCCUCUGUCCUGGCACACCAAGCUGCCUUGCUCUGAAAUGCUCUCCUGUCCUCACAAUCUCUGGGUGGCCUUGCCACGUGCCCGGCUGAAUUGUGAAUAUCGGUUUGUCUGAGUCUCCUCCCUAGGACAGGAAACGGGUCCUACGGAUCUUUGUGCCUCCAGGGCCUAGUACAGUGCCCUCCCCCCAACCAAUCAUUAAAUAUCUGUGGGUGGUUGCACGCAUGCCCGGUGACUUUAAAAUGAGCCACAUAGACUUCUUGGAGUUUCUUAUAAAAGUUGAAAGAAUGUUG
rnacentral:lncRNA from 1 species